rnacentral:rRNA from 1 species
GGGAGGCCUAACACAUGCAAGCCGAGCGGUAUUUGUUCUUCGGGACAGAGAGAGCGGCGUACGGGUGCGGAACACGUGUGCAACCUGCCUUUAUCAGGGGGAUAGCCUUUCGAAAGGAAGAUUAAUACCCCAUAAUAUAUUGAUUGGCAUCAAUUAAUAUUGAAAACUCCGGUGGAUAGAGAUGGGCACGCGCAAGAUUAGAUAGUUGGUGAGGUAACGGCUCACCAAGUCAGUGAUCUUUAGGGGGCCUGAGAGGGUGAUCCCCCACACUGGUACUGAGACACGGACCAGACUCCUACGGGAGGCAGCAGUGAGGAAUAUUGGACAAUGGGUGAGAGCCUGAUCCAGCCAUCCCGCGUGAAGGACGACGGUUCUAUGGAUUGUAAACUUCUUUUAUACUGGGAUAAACCUACCCUCGUGAGGGUAGCUGAAGGUACAGUAUGAAUAAGCACCGGCUAACUCCGUGCCAGCAGCCGCGGUAAUACGGAGGGUGCAAGCGUUAUCCGGAUUUAUUGGGUUUAAAGGGUCCGUAGGCGGAUCUGUAAGUCAGUGGUGAAAUCUCAUAGCUUAACUAUGAAACUGCCAUUGAUACUGCAGGUCUUGAGUAAAGUAGAAGUGGCUGGAAUAAGUAGUGUAGCGGUGAAAUGCAUAGAUAUUACUUAGAACACCAAUUGCGAAGGCAGGUCACUAUGUUUUAACUGACGCUGAUGGACGAAAGCGUGGGGAGCGAACAGGAUUAGAUACCCUGGUAGUCCACGCCGUAAACGAUGCUAACUCGUUUUUGGGUUUUCGGAUUCAGAGACUAAGCGAAAGUGAUAAGUUAGCCACCUGGGGAGUACGUUCGCAAGAAUGAAACUCAAAGGAAUUGACGGGGGCCCGCACAAGCGGUGGAUUAUGUGGUUUAAUUCGAUGAUACGCGAGGAACCUUACCAAGGCUUAAAUGGGAAUUGACAGGUUUAGAAAUAGACUUUUCUUCGGACAAUUUUCAAGGUGCUGCAUGGUUGUCGUCAGCUCGUGCCGUGAGGUGUUAGGUUAAGUCCUGCAACGAGCGCAACCCCUGUCACUAGUUGCCAUCAUUCAGUUGGGGACUCUAGUGAGACUGCCUACGCAAGUAGAGAGGAAGGUGGGGAUGACGUCAAAUCAUCACGGCCCUUACGCCUUGGGCCACACACGUAAUACAAUGGCCAGUACAGAGGGCAGCUACCAGGCGACUGGAUGCGAAUCUCGAAAGCUGGUCUCAGUUCGGAUUGGAGUCUGCAACUCGACUCUAUGAAGCUGGAAUCGCUAGUAAUCGCGCAUCAGCCAUGGCGCGGUGAAUACGUUCCCGGGCCUUGUACACACCGCCCGUCAAGCCAUGGAAGUCUGGGGUACCUGAAGUCGGUGACCGUAACAGGAGCUGCC